rnacentral:rRNA from 1 species
UACAGAGGGGGCAAGCGUUAUUCGGAAUUAUUGGGCGUAAAGGGCGCGUAGGCGGCCUGGCAAGUGGAAGGUGAAAUCCCUCGGCUUAACCGAGGAACUGCCCUCCAAACUGCUUGGCUUGAGUCCGGGAGAGGUGAGUGGAAUUCCCAGUGUAGCGGUGAAAUGCGUAGAUAUCAUUUGGAACGCCAAUGGUGAAAACAGGUAGCUGGGGCUGUGCUGACGCUGAGACACGAAAGCCAGGGGAGCAAACGGG